GGAUCAUCGAAAAAGCAAGAGAGAGUGCGCUCCAGCUCGUGUUCCGUGUAAGACGUAGAUCUGAGCGACCGAAGCCACGAGCGAGAUGCUGGUGGCCGUGGGUCCCCAUGGACAGUCCCAGCCAAGCUGCUUCGACCGCGUGAAGAUGGGCUUUGUGAUGGGUUGCGCCGUGGGCAUGGCGGCGGGGGUGCCCUUCGGCAACUUUUCCUGUCUCAGGAUCGGAAUGCGGGGUCGGGAGCUGAUGGGUGGCAUCAGAAAAACCAUGAUGCAGAGUGGCGGCACCUUUGGCACAUUCAUGGCCAUCGGGAUAGGCAUCCGAUGCUAAUCAGGGCAGUGGUUGCCCACAACACGCACCCCCUCCCAUCAGUUCCAUCCCAAGUGUACUAUAAUAAAGCAAGUCUUUGAGUAAAAAAAAAAA